CUGCCUUUUCCUCUCCGGGAGACCCACAAACAUGGAAACUUGUCUUUGAUUUUGUUUCAAGUUGAUUGACAUAAGCGAAUGAGUCCUGUGGGGGAAAAAAAAUAACCAAACCAAAUACAAGAAAACGUACUUUUGUGCCAGUUUGACCAUCCGAGUUGAUUAGUUCAGAAGAGCAAAAGAGUAAGUUGAACGGCUUGUCUAUGCCAUGCAGCCAUCCCAAUAUUCAGGGUUCAACGCUGCCCACUGACAGUAAGUGAUCUGAUUGUUUUUCUAUGCUGUUCGAAGGAAAGGGCCUUGUGAACAAAGACCAGGACUGUUGGUGCCUUGCACUGUGAUUCUCAGUGACCUGCUGGAGUUCCUGGGAGGCCCAAGCAGCGAGCACAUGCCAUAACCUGCUGGAGGGGCAGGUCCUGGCUCCACACUUCACACGUGAGAUAAAAUGUAAGCUCAUACCAACCUCUGAGCACAAGCAAACGGAUGCAGCGCAUCAGCCAGGUGGGUACUCCUAUACUAAUUACUGUGUUUGCGUAUCAGCUUAUGUUCUUUGUGUCACACUAUAAGAACUUAGGAAAUGUGUGCCACUGUGGUUGGAGGUGGUUGUCUCUCAGCGAAGAUGUGAGAACCCUAUGGGCAUGUAUGGCAAAUGCAAAAUGAAAUGGGUUAGUUCCUUUCACGUCUGAAAGUCAUCUUGCUUUGCAGUUCAAGAGACUGAGAGCUUACAUGCGGCCAGUGACUCUGUCCCAGCUAAAAUAUACUUCUCUGCUGAGAAGUGGUAACAUUUCCAGCCAUUCUAAUGUGGUUAUAAGGAUAAGUCUGGUCAUGCCCUCAUAUGUCUCUCUUUGCUUUAUCUGGUUAAGGCAGUGCCCCUUUCAGAAUGAAGGCAAGCAAUGUGACAUUUCAGGUACUACAGCAAUCUUAAUUGCAAGUCAUUCUAGUAGCGGAGGUGACUAAUGUAAUAAAUACGCACACAUGCAUCGAUACAGACAGCACUCAUUGCAAAAAUGACUGCCAGUCAUUUCUCUAACCAGAAUGUACUAUGAUGUGUACUCUGCUGUUGAAGUUUUAGUGGUGCUUCUGAAUGCCAUACAGCUGGGCCCCACUCUUAAAAAUAGCAGCGAGAUAUGAAUAAGUGCUGUUUGGUUCAGCAGGAAAGAAGAAAACAUCACCUCAGUAGGAACAGAUGAGUCUGGUUAGGUUUUAUGUCUCUUGCUGAAAAACUGCAAAGGAAUAGCUGUAUUUCACAGUGAAAAUUGCAUUUAAUUGAAAGCAAAACAUUCAAGCACCCAAAAGAGAAGUGAGAAGAAGGGAUCCCACUCACAGGGGGAUAGUGGAGCUGAGAGGCUGUCCCUCUAGUCUGGUGGCCAACGGGGCACAGUCCUGUGAGGUUCUGGGGAAGGAGUGGGCUCAAUGAGUGAAAGAUGCUAACACGACCCAGACACUCUGCAACAUUAAACACUUAAAAAGGUUUGGGGUUUUGAAUACAGAGACCUCAGCCUACUUGGUUACCAUGGCAAACAAUCACCAAUAGAAGUCUUUUAAUCUUUAAUUAAAGAUACACAAAAAAGGAGAAAAAACAGUUUAAGCACUUGAAAAAUAAGACUUUAUGCUUUAAAAGUGUCCAUUAUCCCUCUUCCCUUAGCUGUCAACAGUUUUUGUAGCAGUGCUUCCCUCCCUUUAUUUAAGGUCAUAGCAGCACUCACUGUUUUUUGGGAGACACUCAUUGAGAUAGACUGGAUCUGCUGUUAGUACUCAUUUUGGGAUUCUGCUUUGCUCAUUUGAAGACACAGGCAUGCAGGAGGGGAGAGGAAAGGAGAGCAAAGACAAAAAUUAUUACUUCCUCUUCAGGUGUUGACUUUUACUUGCAGCCUCACUGCUAGAAAAAGACAAGCACAACACAUGGACUUAUCAGCCCCUCUCUGAUCAAGGGGAUUUAUAUCAGCGUCUGUCUCAUUUAGACAUUGCUUUUGGUUGUCUCCUUGAUUGCAGUUCACAGCUGUGUUGUACAACCCGUACCCUCCUAUCUAGGAUAGUUUGAUUAAAAGGAAGGUAAAAGAAAGAAAAGGCAGAGAAGCAUGUGAAAAGACUGCAAAGCUACUGAGAGAAGGGUGGCUUCAGGACCCCAAGUCUUCCCUUCCAAGUGGGUUUCCAGGACUGCACUGAAAUUGGUGGACAUAGCGAUGACUCCCAUGUAUCUCCUCACCAGAAACUCACCAGAAGGUCUGACCAGAUCAAGUAAGUGUAGAAUCAUAGAAUCACAAAGGUUGAAAAACACCCACAGGAUCAUCCAGUCCAACCAUUCACCUGUCACCAGUGGUUCUCACUAAACCAUGUCCUUCAACACAACGUCCAAAUGUUCCUUGAAAUACCAACAGUGUCACAGCAGAGACUUAGAUCUCGAAGUUGACAACGACAGCUGUCAGCAUGUCUCCUUUCUGUCCACCUAUUCUAGGAUCAGUAUCAAAAUGGAUGUACCCCAGAGGAUGAUGUACAUGCCACCAGUCACCAGUUGGCUUUAGCUCCUGGCACAUGAGUUUUGGUCCAUUGAUUUUGGCAUUUAUCUUGUACAUCAGGCCUGAUGUCAGCACAGUCCUUGGUUAAUAUUAGGAAGACUUUCUGAUUGAACUAAUUUGGUCUUCCCAUCUUUAACUUGUGCUGACUUCUCCAAGUAAUUUUCUCCAGCAGACUGAGCUGCACUUUCUCACCUCUGUGAACUUUAGCACAUGCGUUUGCCUGAUGUGCUUGCGUAGGAUGUUCAAUGCCCUCUUCUGCUUCCCUGUCUACCCUUCUUCUUUUCCAGGAGAAUACCACAGUCACAAGAGCAGGGGUACCCUGGGAGAGGCUCUGCCAAUGGCACUUUCAUAUUCCUUAGUAGCGCAAUACUCAUUAGCACAGACUGGGGAAGCCAGGUGAAUUGUGUCCAUGAGUGUCUCUACUGGGGUCUGGAAAGAGGACACAUAAGUGGUGAGGAGUAAGAACAACCCACCUUAGUAUGCAGCACAGCACAACCUUAUGGCAUUCUCUUGGGAGAUAAGUGAUGCUGGUUCUAGUUCCCCCAGGCAGAGGAGGAAAUUAAACCCAGGACUCCCACAUCCUUUAUGAGCGAAUAAAAAGUGGCUGUCUUCCUCUCAGCUUUGUGAAUAUAAUCGUGAUAUUUUCUUCCGGGGAAUCAAUUUGGUAAGUCCACGCUGAAUUCAACAAUCAUUUUGGGACAAUGGAAAAAAAAAAGCAAACAUUUUUCAAUGAGAAGGAUGCUGGCUAAAAAAACAUUCUAUUGACUGUAGUGGCAGUACAACAACCAGACAGACCCCAUCACUCUGCCACUUUAUAUCCAGCAGCUGUAGGACAGGAAACUCUCAUACUUGCAGACAGCGGAGGAACUUACCUGGCAAUGUGAAAUCUUGCUAGGAAAAAAGGGUUGUGCGGGAGUAAUGAAAUCCUCUGGGAAUGGCAGAUGAAACCUGAACACCGGUGGGACUGCCUUGAGUUCUGACACAAUUACCACAGUGCAUAAGAAAAACCUGCAAAGAACAGGCUCACUCCGAGGGCUGAGAUGUGACCAGUGUCCCAGUUAUUAUUAGCUACUAAAGGUCUGAAAAGGUUCAAACUCCAUCUUUGUAGGAAUUCAAACAGAGGGAUGCAUGAGGCCUUGCUGACGGCUUCCAGACUGAAAAAGAAAGCGGAGGGAAAAGGGGCAUUUCUCUGACCUUCCUCGGUGAUUGCUCAGAACUGUGUCUACUGAUGGCCGUGUCCAACACCGACAAGAAGAGGCAAGAGAAGUCAAAAUCUGAGGAGUGAGAUGUUCUGCUAGCACAGAAAAGCCACCUGGAGAAACAAAAACAAAUGUCACACAGCUGCGAGUGGGAGAAAUGCUAUUGUUUUCCUGGUAGCCCGUCCUUCCAGUCUUCUGAGAGAAGCGGGUGUUUCUUCCCAAAAGCUCUCGCUGGUCAGAGCUGGCGUUAGGCUCCUCCUGAAGCACGUCCACUGUGGAACUGCUCACUUCUGGCCUAUCUGACGGUAUCUGGCUAACUGUGACAGAGGCAUAAAUGAAAAGCAAAGAGGUCAAGGGCAUGGAAUUCAGUGCGCAGAUUGGAUCGAACUCCAACACGCUACACUGCACCAGGAGAUGGAAAAAUUGGCCAUGGAUUGCUAAACUAGCUCUCCUCCUCUUAGUCUGUGGUUAAUCCAAAGGUCCUUCCUUUAUAGAGGUGCCAGAGUGGCAGAGAUAGCACAAAGGAGCUUAAAAAUUUGCUUUUAAAAACAUCGGUCCCUCAUUGCCCUGUUUGGAAAAGAAAGCUGUAACGUGAGGAGCACUGCACACCUAAGGAGGGAUCCCUUAGUGUUGUCCCUAUGGGAUAAAAGACUGUUGUGCUACAUUUGGCUGGAAGGGCUAUUUAUUUUUGAAAACUGUAAAUCUACGUGUCUUCUCCUCCAGGUACAAAGGAGGGGGAAUUGUUACAGUUACUGUGGUAACACAACUGGAGAACCAGCCUAAGAGUGAAGAGACUCAGGACAACAGAAUGAAUCGAUCGCGUUGUACCAUGAAGCAGAUGGUCCUGAUGAAGGUCUAUCUUCCACUGAGAAAUCAUUCGGCAGUACAUGAACGCACUGUUUGACGCCGCCUCAUCAUUCAAAAUCAAUAAUUUGUCUUUCAAAACAGCUUUUUAUGUAAGGAAAGGCCAGAUGUGAGCUUAUCCAAGACAGGAAAGUCAUCCUGAACUUCUCCCCCUAGCAAGUAGCUGGUUCUCUUCUAAUCUGCCUGACUGGAGAAGAGAUGGGAACACUAAGUUGGAUCUGAGCUGCACGCAGAGGGACUCCUGUAUCUGCACGCAGCCCUUCUGAUUCCACAGGGAUAUACACAGGCCCCACAAGCUUGGCUUGACUUGGGCUUGAGAAAGCUGAGUGUAUGAGCCUCAAAUAAAGGAGAGUAAUUUCUACAGGGAGAGCAAUCAGUGAGAGACUGCUAAAGGGAAAUACGGAUCUCUGAUUCUGGCAGGAGAUGAGAGUAACCUCCCAGAAAGGUCUCCCUGCAGAAGGCAGUUUUUAAAAUGACCUUGAAGAAAUACACAGCAAUUUAAUUUGUCACUGAUGAGGGUUUUUGCAGAGCCUCUUGCGAUUUUAUGCAUGUUGGCUGGACAACCCUGCCCUGACAAAUGCCCUAGACUGUGCCAGAGAUGCAGAGAGCUUCUGACUCGUCCAUUGGACUUGAGAAGGCUUUAAAAAAGGAUAUGCCUCUUGAAAGACAGGAUAAAUUGUGGCCCACAGAGAGGAAGACUGGCAAGGCAUCCCUGUUAUGCUCGUAAACUGGCAGCUGUAGGCCCUGAUAGAACAGGGAUUGGUGAAUGAGUGGAAGAAUGAUUCUGAUGAGUGGAAGAAAAUUUCGUGGAGAAAUCUUCAUAAUGCUGGGCAGAGGAUUAGCAGCUGGAGUGCUUUCAUGCCCAACACAGGUCUAGAGAAGGUCUUCAAAGGACCAAGUUCAGCUAACUCUGGACAUCCAUCAUUUUCCCUUAAUCACCUUGUCAAGGUGACGAAGUAGCUUUGCCCAGCCCUUCUUCUGCCAGGUGCACUGCUAAACAUCACAUUUGAGAACACUCUGUUUAAUGCCAAGUGUUUUUUUUUUCCCUUCUAUGCAUGAAAAUAAACGAAUCGGCCCUCUAAGAGAGCGCUUGGGAGUAUCUGCUUCUCCACGCUACACGCUACUUUCUGAAACAGAGGAAAGGGGAAGGAGGAUUUGACCCUCACUGAGUGAAGGAGUUGCUGAUUUAGUCAAGUCAAGAACAGGAUGCGACGUUUUGGUCUAGUGCAUUGACAUUUGCAUCUCUGAGUGAGAAUGCUUAUUUUCAUUGGAGGAACAGCAAGACUGCCUUUUGAAACAUUUAAAGGUAAUCAAGCUUUUGGAGAGGAAGUGAAUGUAUUUUGAUGGAAAGCUUUGAGUCUCUCUGGACCUGCCAGAAUGGCUACGGAAAGACUGGAGCCUUUCCGUGUGUGCAUCUUUUUAAACUGUGUGGUCUGUUUGGGGAGUUGCAUAUAAAUAUUUACAUUUGUAUUUUACUUUCACCUGAUGUAAGAGUGAUUUCAAGGUAAAUGGCUGAGAGCAAAACGUUGCUGAUCUAAAAUUAAGAGAACGUGUCCUUCUGAAGCAGGUUAGCUCAGGUUGAGAGUAAGUAUCAGAGGGGUCUGGAGAGGAUGAUGUCUUUUCCACUGACUAGCACUGGCUAGGGGACGACUCUGACAUACAGCAAAUAAGAAAAAGGCACUCUUGCAUGCUGAAUUCUCAUAAGAAUUUUGCACAAGACAGCAAAAAGCAAGCUUUUGCCCCAGAAGUAUACCCUUUCUCUCCCUCCUCCAAAGCCCCUUGGGACUGCGGUACGGAUUGCUGGUGGUUAAUACUUUGCACGUGGACUGAACUGUGUCAGGCAGAGGAAUGAGAAUAGUGUCAGAGUUGUGCGGAAGAAUCCCUGGGCAUGUCCUGUCUCCAGACAUAAGCUCAACCCAUAUCUAUUCCUGGAUUUUGAAGCACUGCAGAAAAGUGUUACUCGGGCAGAGUCUAAAUGCGGUAAAAGCUAAUAGUCAGUAGGACACAGUGGAGGAUUUGAUUCUUCAGUAAUGUCAAGACAAAUACGAAUUCUUCCUCCAAGGAAAACAAAACAAAUGCUCUCUUUCCAUAAGGGAUGUGACAACCCUAAGCAAUUGUGCAACCCUCUGCAAUACAUGAUCCAAACUGAGGUCCAUAUUCUUCCACGUAUCUGCUUCUAUGACAUGGAAGCUUACAGAUAGAUGUUAUGCUUUUAAGAUGGGGCAGGAUCUGUGCCCCUACCUGGAGAUCUUUCUUGCUAUACCUUUGUUGUGGUGAACUACUCCUGGAAACCGAUGCCACAGCAGAGUAAAACAGUGAAUACUGGGGCAUCUGUGGGCAGCCACACAAAAACUGCUCACAUGGGUGGCCAGUUAAGUCACUUCUCUGCUAAUGUAGAUAGGCCAAAGCUCAUUUGGACCAUAUCUAUUCUGCAUAACUUUACAAAAUCCGCUUUUAUUUGAAUCCCAGGUUAUCAAGUUGCAUUAAUCUCAGUGAAAGCAGGAAUCCUAAGGAGAAACGACAGGUACAGGGCUGUUCUAAAUGCUGAGGUACACUAUCCUGCCUGUGUCCCCAUCUGGUUGACAAAGAAUUUAAAAUGAUAUCAGGUGUUAAGCCUAAACCCAUCUGGCCUUGGGCAACAAGUGGUACUGAUGGCAGCCGGUCCCCAUCAGGAGAGCAACUCUGCAGCAGUGCUCACAGGAGCUAUGGCCAUGCUAGCUGGGGUCAGCAGUAUUGUUUGCAAAGUGUCCUGAGUGCACAUGCUGCUUUUGGAUAAAAUGCAACUGGGACUGUGAUUCACCAGCUGCCUGUAACACAGCUGGAUAUGUUACAGAAUCAUAGAAUGAUUAAGGUUGGAAAAGACCACUAAGAUCGUCUAGUCCAACCACUGACCCGUCAACAUCACGUCUUUAUCUGGAAGGCUCUGUCAGCCAAACCAUCUUUUCUCACCUCUUGCGAGGGCUGGCCUCCUCUUCUGCACAGGCCCUGACACAGCUGAGGAAGCUGCUUUCAGGUCUGCAGCACCACAGGAUUGUCCUUCUGCCCCAGAUCUGUAGUGCAGGUCUCUAGCUUGAGCAGGCAAGAGGAGAAACGCCUUAUAAUUUCCCUGAUGAUCUGAAGCUAAACACAACCUCUUUGACAAAGAUGCUAAUGUAAAUGGGGCCUUAGCUUCUCUUUGAAAUGGUUUGCAAAACUGCCUUGCACAAACCGGCUUCAAAGAACAGUUGAGCCCUGCCUCUGGUAGCCACGUGAAACUGCUAUUGCCUCUCAGGUUAAAAAAAAGUGUUUGUAGGCAAAGGGUUUUUUUUUUUAAAAUUGAAAACAGUUUCUCAGGCCAACACAGACGAGUCCCCCCAGGGUUGAAAUCAGCUCUAUGUUUCUCAAAACAGUGUGAAAAUAAGAUGGGUGUUCCAGCUGACUAAAGUUUUCAGAUUUUAAUUAACUGGCAAUGAGCCAUAGAGACACGAGGUGAUGCACCGUGCUGGGCCAGCUCGGUGUGGAGAAGCCAGGCUGUGCCUGAGCACUGCCCCGUAUCUGCUAGCAACUCCUGCCUUUGGGGACCCCACAGGCUGCUGGGCCACCCCCCUGCUGUGGACAGCUCAUGGGCCUCAUUCAGGAAUGCUGAAGCUGGGCUGAGGUCUUUCACUCCUCAGCCCGUGGUCUCAGGCUUUGCAGCAGCAGAAGGCAAGGGACUCUGCCUGCUUGUGGCAGGUGGUAGCUGGUAGACGUGCUGAAUCUUCACGCCUGCUGUAAAAUGGUGCACGAGAGGACUUAUACCUCAGUGCUACCUGCCUCGAUAACAUCUCUUAGUUCAGUGACCUUCCCUCUGCCCUAGCGCUCCCUUGCCCCUUUUUAAGGACAAAAGAAGAAAAGGAAGGCAGCUUGCAUUCUGAUGCUGGGUCAGUGGAUGCGGGAUGAUUCAAAUUCAGCACCUUCCUCUGAGCUACGUAGCACCCAAGGGACAGUAUCUUACUCUGCUCCUUUCUAUCACUCUGUGCACUUGUAGGGGCUUAUGGUAUUACUGCAAAACACUCUGGACAUGCACAGCAUGAAGAAACAAGUCGGAAGGUACAUUUAGAUGCACCAGACUCAAAUCAGAUAAACUCACAGGAUUCACGUGGCCUCUGACACCAGAGAGUCAGAAACUGUGUAGCUGUGAGGCCUUGAUUGGAGGGAGCAAGUCCACUGAAGGUUAGUGCCUUCUCUCUUUUCCUCCGUACGUGCUACUGAGAAAUAUCACCUGGCACAGUGACACUCACCAUGGCCCAUCAUCAGAGAGCCCCGCUGUCCUUGGUGUGUUGGUCACCCUCACUGCCACCUCAUGAGGAGAGGUGGGAAGGCAUGCUACUUGCAGAGCACAAGUUCCCAGAGAGGAGCAGGUGUCUCUUCACUGUUUCUGGAUCUUUGUCGCUUGGAGGGCUGCUGAGUACAAGGGGUAGGAGGGCUGCAGGCAGGGCUCAGGUCAUAUGUAUGCAUAUGUAUGAAAUGAGUAUCACAGGGCUCCAGUUUAUGCUGGAAUGAGACCAGAAUCAGAAUCCGAGAGAGACAGGAACUCCAAAGCCAUCUACUUGUCUUGGUUGUCUUGUGGGGGCAUAAGACUCAGGGCCAGGUUUUCAGAAGGUCUAAUUCCUCUAAGUACCCACUUGAUCAUUCCCGCUUUGCUAUUUAUCUCCUUUUAAGUGUGCUCUUCCUACAACAACUUGACUGCUGGAGAGUGGGCACAGAAGAGUUUGAGUCUACAGCAAUUACUUGUGUGAGUAAUCCCUGAGUAAUUCCGAGAGGAUUUACCUGUCUGACUAAGGGCCCUCAGAAUAUCACCAAACCCUUCGAUAUAUACUCUGAAAACAUAUUUGGCCCAUUGCUUCCUCAAGGACUUUCAAGGGCACAAGAGGAGGUUUACCUUAAUUAACAUCCCUUCAACAUUGUAGACAAUGGGCUCAUCUCUUGGCUAUACAACAGAGGAAUGUUGGAAACAAUAUCUGUUCAUCGUGAAAUCAUGUUCUCCCAGCUACCUGCUACAGAGGUGAAAGCAGGCACUGUCAAAUACCACUGAAGAAAUUUAAUCUUUCCUUGCUAGCAAAUUCUGAAAAGGCAAAUAACAUUUUCAUAGUUUGUUUACUCAUUUGUUCCUUAAAAGAGGCAAAGGAAUCUGUGAAUCAGAAGAAUUUCCAUCUCAAAAAUUGCUUUGGCAACCAGUGGCUUGUAAUUUAAGAUUAAGUGAUUGAAUUUCAUGCAGCCUUGCUUAAAAUUCACUACUCCACACGCUGUCACCACACAUUUUUAAAAAAAAAUCUAACAAGAAACCCCAAACAUCUAUAACGUUACUACAAGUCAGUCAAAAAAUGUCCAAUCAUCUGGGAGGUGACAAAACGUGCUUAAUGAAGAUGUAGUCUGCAUGACUGCUGGAUUUUUCCCCUUGUAGCGUUCACAGCCUAUCAGAGAGUUCCCAUUCCCAUGCAGUGCUGGUGCCGGGCUCACUUCAAUCAGGCUGCACAAAUCAGUGGAGCAGAAAUGCCUCUUUCCCUCCAUCACCUGAAGCCAAUGCUGAUUCAUCCGUUCAGACCCAUUCCUUCUGCCACUCCUCUGAGUUUACUGAUUGCUGAUUCAUUUUUCCCCCUCCUUUUUUUCCCCCACCUCGUACUAAGCAUCCCGUGUUGAGUGCAACACACUUCGUUUCCAGGUCUGACUGAAAGGGAAUAUGGAAAUUAAUUGGCUCAGACUGCUAGCAGCCUUUUGCACGUGCCUGUACUCCGUGAGAGGUGCAGUGCAAUUGCCUUUCCACUGUAGCUCCUUAUCAGCCACCUGUCUCCUUGCGUGUGUUUCCUUGGCUGCUCUCAGUCUGGGUGCUGGAGAUGGAUGUCCCCUUCCUCUCCCUGUUCUGCAAAAGGGAGGGCAGCUGGCAGGGCUGUCCUUGUGAGGGCUGAAGCUGUCCUCGUUUGACUUAAAAUAGGACAGAUUUAGUGAAUUCUCCAGCUUGUGGUAAAUAGCGUGUGACUGGUGCUUUGGUGAGGGCUGCAGAGAUGCUGUACAGCACAGUGGAACUUCUGCUGAAAUGUUUAUUUGUUGUCUCUGCUGGACGCAGGUCCUGGCUGAAAGAAAGCAGCUGAGGUAUGUCCCUUGGCCAUGAGAGGAGGGUACCAGGAUCCUUGCAAGUUGGAAUAUAAUCUGGCUCUGCAGCUACGCUCCAUCUCAAACAUUUUCAUGCCUAGGUUUCUAUCUUCCAUUGGUUUCAUACUGAAUUUUCUCAUGGAGCUUCCUCCCGACUGCAGAGAAUUUGGGUUUCCCCUGUGAAGUCUCCCUGUGUCUUUGAUGCUGGAGUGCUGUUGCUAGCAUUGCAGAAGUCCCACUGUCCCAUGCAGAGCACUGUACAGGUAUUUUUUUGAGGAGCUGCCCCACAUUCCUGUGGAGCUUUUCCAUCUCUGUGAAAAAAAGCUGGGGAGAAGGGAGGCCUUAUCUCCAUGCUGUGCAUGGGUGAGGUCCGAAAAAGGGCUAGGCGGGACAGAGAGGCCAGGAGCACAUAUAUAGGAGGGGACAGGAGUGGAGGCCCACAGCUUGGAGACACACAACCGCCGGAAGGCUCUGGGAGUGCCCCAGCACUUGCUAGGGGGCAACGGGCUCCUUUGAAGAGUGAGUGGUGCAAGACCCAGCCUGACUCAGUCACCCUUGGCAUCAUCCCUUGCAUCCUCAUUUCUGCAGGCUGAUGGUGUGUGCCCUGCUAGGGCCCUGGGCUUCUACUCAUUCAUGUUUGUAGGAACCCGGAGGAUGACUCAGAUUAUUACAGCACUGUAGAUCUGAUGCUGUCUGUGAUGUCUCUGGCAUGAUGCCCAUCUUUCCCUUCUGUGUUUGAACAAUCUCUUGCUCAAGGAGCCCUGGCCUGAUAGAAGGACUACCUCCUAUUAUUAACACAGUAGCAAGAAAUGAAAGGGCAGGCACAUUUGUAUGUGGUAUAAUUUAUGCAGAAGACAUGAUCUCAGGCACAGUGGAUGACAAAACCAAACGAGAAACUUUUCUUCUAGUUUUAUCACAGUUUCUCCCAGAACCUCUGCUGUAUGCGUUCUGGAAAUUUACAGGAUGAAGGAUUUUGUCAUGAUAUCUAGUUCUAAUCUGAAGUGAUUUACUGUUAAGUUGAAAAUCAAGCCUGUACGUAUCCCCCUCCAAGUGGUUUCUAUGACAGUUUCUAUUAACCAUAAAAAUGUCACUUGCUAGGAAGUAUCAGCCUUCUUGUAGGCUUUGCAAUCAUUGCUACCAGAUGCACACUUACUGAAUGGAAUAAAUAUUCUUGUACAAUUAGCCUGGCAUGCAGGACAUGUCUGGCUAUCUCUCUUGCCUCCAAAGUGAAGUUUUCAAAAGCAAACCCGUAUAUCAAGAGAUGAGAUCUAUCUGGAUUUUCUGAAGUUCUUCAGAUCUUGCAGUGUUAUGAUGCUUUAUGGAUAAAGCACGGUGGUGUGUAAACUUAGGCUAAGUUUUCUUCAUUUUAAUCUGUAUAAGCAACUGAAAUAUUCAUUUUUCAUUGUUUUGAUCAAGUGGAAAAAAAUAUUUGAUGUCUGUUCUGUGAUUUAAAAUGUAUUUUGAAAUACACUAAUGGCUCUGUGGCAUUUCCUGCUGUUGCACAAUCACGGUGAAGCUGGUACUGUCUGGAUGCGCCGUACACACUUUGCCCCUACCUACCCGUUAAGGAAAUGACACACAAAGCCUUCCUUAAGACUGGGGGGUGGUGAUGACUUCUUCCAUAUGUGGGAUGUGUUAGCAGUGUUGAGACACUGAUUUGAGCUAACCUUGUCUUCAG
ensembl:lncRNA